UACGUAGGGUCCGAGCGUUGUCCGGAAUUACUGGGCGUAAAGAGCUCGUAGGUGGUUUGUCGCGUUGUUCGUGAAAACUCACAGCUUAACUGUGGGCGUGCGGGCGAUACGGGCAGACUUGAGUACUGCAGGGGAGACUGGAAUUCCUGGUGUAGCGGUGGAAUGCGCAGAUAUCAGGAAGAACACCCGUGGCGAAGGCGGCUCUCUGGAACGCAACUGACGCUGAGACGCGAAAGCGUGGGGAGCAAACAGG
rnacentral:rRNA from 1 species